rnacentral:rRNA from 1 species
CCGGCACGGGUGAGUAACACGUAUGCAAUCCACCUGUAACAGGGGAUAACCCGGAGAAAUCCGGACUAAUACCCCAUAAUAUGGGCGCUCCGCAUGGAGAGCCCAUUAAAGAGAGCAAUUUUGGUUACAGACGAGCAUGCGCUCCAUUAGCCAGUUGGCGGGGUAACGGCCCACCAAAGCGACGAUGGAUAGGGGUUCUGAGAGGAGGGUCCCCCACAUUGGAACUGAGACACGGUCCAA